CGCGCAGGUGGUUUCUUAAGUCUGAUGUGAAAGCCCACGGCUCAACCGUGGAGGGUCAUUGGAAACUGGUAGACUUGAGUGCAGGAGAGGAGAGUGGAAUUCCAUGUGUAGCGGUGAAAUGCGUAGAUAUAUGGAGGAACACCGGUGGCGAAAGCGGCUCUCUGGCCUGUAACUGACACUGAGGCUGAAAGCGUGGGGAGCAAACA
rnacentral:rRNA from 1 species